GAGACAGCAGUCGCCGCGGGAAUACGGAGGGAGCUAGCGUUGUUCGGAAUCACUGGGCGUAAAGCGCACGUAGGCGGCUAUUCAAGUCAGGGGUGAAAGCCCGGGGCUCAACCCCGGAACUGCCUUUGAAACUAGAUAGCUUGAAUCUUGGAGAGGCGAGUGGAAUUCCGAGUGUAGAGGUGAAAUUCGUAGAUAUUCGGAAGAACACCAGUGGCGAAGGCGACUCGCUGGACAAGUAUUGACGCUGAGGUGCGAAAGCGUGGGGAGCAAACAGGAUUAGAUACCCGUGUAGUCCCUGUCUCUUAUAC
rnacentral:rRNA from 1 species